rnacentral:lncRNA from 1 species
GUAUACAGCUCCUGAACUAGAGUGAUCAAUCCCAUCUUGACACACGCACCGAUAAGUCAAGUACUUGAUUACACCCAGCAGCCUUCUGUCACUGAAUUAUAAAUUCAGAUAGUCCAGUGCCUAAGUACAGUGAGUUGCUUACAAGUCACCAUGGCGGUCUCAGGUCGGAGGGACAUUUAUACCCAUAUCCCAUCGGAGCAAAUCUUGACAGCAGAAAUAGCUUCGGAGUCGAUCAUGUUCAGUGCAGAUGUACCCUUACAUCUCACCUGUAUGCCAUACCAGUG